GAGAGUGACUCCACUACGUACAAGUUCAGAUUUAUUACAGAUCAGACCGAAGGGAUCCUGGAGUCACUUUGUCUGUUACAGACCUGCAGGUGAAGGUGACCACUACAUGGUGGUCAACGACACUGACCUGUAGCACCACCUGUACUCUGACUGACAACCCCAACCCCACCUACAUCUAGUACAGGAACAGUAAGAUUGUACAAGAGGACUCCUCCCUCUCAUACUCAGUCUACUUAAAAACUGAAGACAGCUUCUACUGUGCUGUAAAAGGCAUCAAUUCUCCUGCAGUGUAUGUUGGGGGUCACAGUUAUUUCCACGUGACUUACACCCAUCAGAGUAUCUGUACCUUGAAGGGGUCACCUGCUCUUAUACAUAUCCCAGUGGUCAUACAGUCUCCGAAACAAACUGGUAUACAAAAGGAAAACUUGAUGAGGCGCCACAAAUCCUGAGCCCGGGAUAUGGAGGUCGUGUGGAGUCCCUGAGAAAUAUGCAGAGUGACUCCACCCUGAGAAUCACAGACCUGAGAGAGGAGGAUUCAGCUGAGUAUAAGUUAAGAGUCAUAACAGAUCAGACAAACUGGGAGCCCACCUUCCCUGGAACAUCUCAGACUGUCACAGGUAACACUGCAUGUCACAUCUUAUCAAUACUGCAAACUAUUACUUCAUGAUAUGUGUUUUAAUCCCCUUUCAUUUAGGUCUGCAGGUGAAGGUGACUCCUGCCACUGUGACAGAGGGACAGAAGGU